UUUGAGUUAAAAAGAUGAGUUGUGUAAAAUUAAGUUCCACAAUAAAUGUUAACAACUCUGAUUUAUCUUUCAAAAAGAAAAGAGAAUUAUCGCAACUCUGAAAAUCAGAUUCACUAGAGUAAAAAAACUGGGCUUCAGAAUCGAAAUCGAUGAGGAAGGAGAUGCAGACUUACAUCAGUGGAACAAUAGGAGAAGAAAUUCGGGAAACAAAAUUAAGGUAUUUCAGGCCCGUUGGUGAGGAAGAAAUGAUGGUGGUCUCGAAAAUGGUAAAGUUAGCGUAACCUAAUCUUAAUAUGUAUUGUAGUUGCAGUUAUGGGGGGUGAGAUAUAAACGAGGGAUGAUGAGUGUGUGUUGCCUAUCGGAAAGGCGGAGAAGAUGUAAAUGAAAGUUUGCCAACUAUACCAUGUUCGACUAUUGGAGACAAGAUUCCACAUCGGAAAUAUGAAAAAGACUUGAAUAAUAUAUAAGGGACUUGGGUCAAUCCACUAAUUGCCAAUUGGUUUUAAGUUGGAAACCCAAGAAACAUGGCUCUGAUACCAUGACAAGUUUCUUAGGCUUCCUACUUAAAACUAAUUG
rnacentral:lncRNA from 1 species